rnacentral:rRNA from 1 species
UACAGAGGUCCCAAGCGUUGUUCGGAUUCACUGGGCGUAAAGGGUGCGUAGGCGGUCGGGUAAGUCUGAUGUGAAAUCUCCAAGCUCAACUUGGAAAUGGCAUCGGAUACUAUUCGGCUCGAGGAAUGGAGGGGAGACUGGAAUACUUGGUGUAGCAGUGAAAUGCGUAGAUAUCGGGAGGAACACCGGUGGCGAAGGCGGCAUCCUGGACCAACACUGACGCUGAGGAGCGAAAGCCAGGGGAGCAAACGGG